UAGGAUUUAUGAAAAUCUGAGGUGGGGUUCGAUUUUGGGACAAUCUGGAGAAGAAAUCAUUGUUUGGCGUUAGACUUUAAGACUAGAAAGUGCCAAGAUGGUGGUGCUUAGAGAAUCUGGAGGUUGUCAACCCAUAUGUAAGUGGACCCAUUCUCACUCGAUUUUCUUGAUUUUGGCAUGUGCAUUGAACUAUUGUUGGAGAUUUUUUUUUUUUUUUGUAUACUUUUUGACUCUGUGCUUGUCCUAGUGUGGUCAUUGUGUGUUCCUUGUCUGGUUCUUAUGUGUUGCUGGAGUUUUUGUUUGUUUUUUUGUAUACUUUUUUACUCUGUGCUGGUCCUAGUGUGGUCCUCAAUUGGUCAUUGUGUGGUCCUUGUGUGUUCCUUGUAUUGUCCUUGUUUUGUCUUUGUUACCUUUGUCGAUUUGUUAAGUGAAUCUUCCUUGUACACAGAUA
rnacentral:lncRNA from 1 species